rnacentral:rRNA from 1 species
AUUGAACGCUGGCGGCAUGCCUUACACAUGCAAGUCGAACGGCAGCGGACCUUCGGGUGCCGGCGAGUGGCGAACGGGUGAGUAAUAUAUCGGAACGUACCUUUCAGUGGGGGAUAACGUAGCGAAAGUUACGCUAAUACCGCAUAUUCUGUGAGCAGGAAAGCAGGGGAUCGCAAGACCUUGCGCUGAUUGAGCGGCCGAUAUCAGAUUAGCUAGUUGGUGAGGUAAAGGCUCACCAAGGCGACGAUCUGUAGCGGGUCUGAGAGGAUGAUCCGCCACACUGGAACUGAGACACGGUCCAGACUCCUACGGGAGGCAGCAGUGGGGGAAUUUUGGACAAUGGGCGCAAGCCUGAUCCAGCCAUGCCGCGUGAGUGAAGAAGGCCUC